ensembl:lncRNA
UGUUUCAGGCAAUGCUAUACGCAGGGGCUGUUUGGGUGGAGAAUGGGAAGCAGAUGGAAGAAGUUUUGCCAUUGAACUGGAUCGACACAGAGACCAAAGUGUAAACCGACAGGAGUGUGAAAAAUAUAAUUACACCUCAGCUCAAACCGAAGAGGAGGACACAGUCAGUCAAAAGAGAAUGAAGAAAAUAAGGACAUUUGAAGAUUAUGUUCAAGAUUUGUCUCCUGAGGAGGAUGAGUCCUUGCCAGACAAGAAAAAGGAGGAUACAGUCUUGCUUCCGGUUCCUCCGCCAAAGAUUAAGCUCUCACAUAGGGGACAAAAUGCAAGGCUGCUCGAGUUACCUGCACCCCCAGAACUGGCUAACACCGCCAUUAGACAACCAGCGAGUCCUGCAUCUUCAGACAUUUCUGGAUGUUCUCGUCCAACGCCUCACCGUUCACCCACAAGGUCUGAAUCAACAGAAGCAUUUAGUCCAGAGUCUGCCAGUAGGAUCUAUGGAUCUUGCACACCUCAGCGUGGAGUUUGAAAGCCAUCACAGUCCGGGAGCAGAAAGAGUCGGGCAUCCUCAUCCAGUGUCCCAGCUCUCAAAGGUGGGAGGGAGAAACCAUAAAGACUGCGUCCAUAAAGUGAUGGAGAGGCUUUUUACCAACAAUCUAAUGGCUGGUUUCAACAUGAAGGGGCAGGGUCGCAGUGAGAAAAAAGCCUUCCAGGAUACAGUUUUUUACUCUUUGGUAAAAGGACUCAGCUGUGACUGGAGAUUCCCCCCCAUGAUGAGAGAGGAUGAGACACUGUGAGAGAUGAUGCAGUAUGUUGACAAAGGGAGACUGAAUGACGUACAGUACACUGUUUCACCGUAGGAGUCAGGUGUCACUGAACAACAAUAAAACCAAUGUGGUUUUCAAACCAGAGUUGUAGAGAAAAAGUGGUUCUAAUAUUAUAUUUUCCCCUUCACAUAGGAUUUGUUGUUUUCCUCAUUUGCCUUUUAAACAUAGAACUGUUUAUAACAUUUCUGUUAUGUGCAACUUACAUUGCCUUUUCUAUAGACCUAACUUCUGGGCAGUGGGAAAGGUCAAUCUGUUAACAUAACAAGCCAGCUUGACUAUUACCAAUUACAUGUGUGUUUUACAAAUUAGUGCUGUGGCUUUUUCCUAAGGUUUGGUGUUGACUGUUGGGCUAGCUAGGUAGCUAUCUAGACAUGCUUUUAGGAAGGAAGCAUGAUGAAUAUACACUCACCUAAAGGAUUAUUAAGACCACCUGUUCAAUUUCUCAUUAAUGCAAUUAUCUAAUCAACCAAUCACAUGGCAGUUGCUUCAAUGCAUUUAGGGGUGUGGUCCUGGUCAAGACAAUCUCCUGAACUCCAAACUGAAUGUCAGAAUGGGAACGAAAGGUGAUUUAAGCAAUUCUGAGCGUGGCAUGGUUGUUGGUGCCAGACGGGCCGGUCUGAGUAUUUCACAAUCUGCUCAGUUACUGGGAUUUUCACGCACAACCAUUUCUAGGGUUUACAAAGAAUGUUGUGAAAAGGGAAAAACAUCUAGUAUGCGGCAGUCCUGUGGGCGAAAAUGCCUUGUUGAUGCUAGAGGUCAGAGGAGAAUGGGCCGACUGAUUCAAGCUGAUAGAAGAGCAACUUUGACUGAAAUAACCACUCGUUACAACCAAGGUAUGCAGCAAAGCAUUUGUGAAGCCACAACACGCACAACCUUGAGGCAGAUGGGCUACAACAGCAGAAGACCCCACCGGGUACCACUCAUCUCCACUACAAAUAGGAAAAAGAGGCUACAAUUUGGACGAGCUCACCAAAAUUGGACAGUUGAAGACUGGAAGAAUGUUGCCUGGUCUGAUGAGUCUCGAUUUCUGUUGAGACAUUCAGGUGGUAGAGUCAGAAUUUGGCGUAAACAGAAUGAGAACAUGGAUCCAUCAUGCCUUGUUACCACUGUGCAGGCUGGUGGUGGUGGUGUAAUGGUGU